rnacentral:rRNA from 1 species
GAUGAACGCUAGCGGCAGGCCUAACACAUGCAAGUCGAGGGAGAGGUUACCUUCGGGUACCCAAAACCGGCGCACGGGUGCGUAACGCGUAUACAAUCUGCCUUUCACAUAGGGAUAGCCCGAAGAAAUUUGGAUUAAUACCUAAUGGUAUAUAAGAGCGGCAUCGUUUUUAUAUUAAAGCUACGGUGGUGAAAGAUGAGUAUGCGUUCUAUUAGCUAGUUGGAGAGGUAACGGCUCCCCAAGGCGACGAUAGAUAGGGGUUCUGAGAGGGAUGUCCCCCACACUGGUACUGAGAUACGGACCAGACUCCUACGGGAGGCAGCAGUGAGGAAUAUUGGACAAUGGUCGGAAGACUGAUCCAGCCAUGCCGCGUGCAGGAUGAAGGUCCUAUGGAUUGUAAACUGCUUUUGUAAGGGAAGAAUAAGGAGUACGUGUACUUUGAUGACGGUACCUUACGAAUAAGCAUCGGCUAACUCCGUG